CAUGACAUUGCUUCUCCGUCCCUGGCUGCUACCCUCCCUUCCUAGAGAGAGGGGGAGGUGACAGCAGGGCAUAGCCUCCAGCAACACGAAAACAAACAGCAUCAAUCUCACCACCUCCCACAGUUCUCGGAACUGGACGCCCUUCUGGCCAUCAAGCGUGAAGGAAUUCUUCCAAGGCGGACCAGGGAGAGGCAAGAAAAGAUGUAGGCACCACGGAGUGACAAUGGAAACAUUCAGCAGUCCUCAUAAACCAUGCUCUGGAUCUUUGCCCGGCUGUCAGCCACCUUCACCCAGAUGUCACCAUGCAUGGUCCGGACAGGCAGGUGGCCAGCCCCGUCCCCAGGACCAAGGGAGGUGUGGGCACCAGCCCCCUCAGCCCACAUGGCUUCCAUUCUCAGAGAAGACGGGGAUGAGGACAUUUUGGAGAACGGCUCUCCAUUGGUCAUGGAUGUCUUCCCCAGAAGCCAUGGCUUCCCCAUUCUGCAAACGAGGAGUUCAAGGUGCCAGCAACAGGAAGGCCAUCACGGCUAUGACUGGUCAGAAUUAGGUUCAGCCAAUAAAUGCAGCUUCAACCGGUGUUUCUCAAACUUUCACAGGCACACAAAUCACGUGGGGAUCUUCUUAAACUGAGGUUGUUGACGGAGUAGGUCUGGGUGGGACACACAUUUCUUUUUCUUUUUAAGAUUUGAUUUUUAAGUCAUCUCCAACCCAACCCCGAGGUCAAGAGUUGCGUGCUCCACCAACAGACCCCAGGCUGACGCCCCCAGAAUAUACAUUUCUAACAAGGUCCUAGGAGAUACCAGUGAUUACUGGAGCUCCAGCUAUGAUACUGCGUUUCAUCCAGCUUCUUUCUCAGAGGCAAGAACUGACAGAAAAAGAGCUUGGCCCCUCCCUAUAAGAAUGCAUCGGAUUUUCUGUUAAUUUCCCACCAGCCACAAGGGAGCCACAUGGCCUCACCUUUGCCCAUCUGUAAAGGAGGCUGGGAAAUGAUCUUGUGUGUCAGUUACCAUGUGCCCUGCUAAACAUUGGGAGUUCUGUUACUGAGGAAUUAGGUAAGGGGCACUGAGAGUCAGCAAUCUCCGACAGACAGCAAGCUGAGGCGAAAGCAUAGACAUUUCUGAGCCCUUGUCGGCAGGGAGCGGACGUCUGGCCCCUUGGGCUUCUGCCCACAACCUCUGAGUCCCCCUUAAGACAAGUCUGAUGCUAUGCCAAGCACUGUCUGGGCAAUCUCAGACACCGGUCAAGCCUCGGGCACUGGAGGCAAGUGACCAGGUUCAAAUCUUGGUUCUGCUACUUACUGGCCAAAUAAUCUUGGGCAAGUGACUUCAACGCUCUGUGCCUCAGUUUCCCCAUACAUAAAACGCGCGUAAUGCUAAUCUCUCUCUCCAAGUGUUGGUGUGCGGAAAAUGAGCAGAGCUUGUAUAGAGUGAGCAUGCAACAAACACCAGCUUCAGUGAGGAAAGGAGGCCAUGCUACCUCUCUGUGUCAGCCCGUCUUGGAUCACGCCCUGUGCGACGCCGCAUGCCCAGAAGAGAAGGGGGGGAGACUCGAGGCCAUCCCGGAGGAGCUGACAACCCUUAAGCUGAAUUAAUGACCGUGAAGCGAUGCAUUGGAAGACCAGGCAUGUAUU
ensembl:lncRNA